GUCCAUUUUCGGCAGGUGUCGGGCUUUGAGGACCACCACGGUCAGUCUCUGUGCCACGGGCUGGUAGGACAGAGACACCUGGAGCUCCCCUCUGCUAAUGCACUUCUGUGAAGAGGAAACAGCAGGGAGAUGGACACCUCCUCAUUACAACCCCGACACGAAAUGCAACCGUCUGCUCGCGUCGGGUUCCCGAGCGGGACUCUGAGGCCAGAUUCCAGUCCGGCUGCUACUCCCUGCCUGUGCGACCUGGACAAGAACUGGACGGCUCUGUGGCCCGUUUCCUCGCCUGAAGGGUGCAGAUAAAACCAGUACUGACCUCUGAGCAUCGAGACAACUAAAGAAAUUGAAACGGGUAAAAUUUUACCUGCACCAGCGCCUAGAGAAGUGUGUUUUCUCCCGGAGCCUCAUUCAGUUCUCGGGGGAACAGUGCCUGGACGGUGGACAGCCGGAGACUCGGAGUUGAGCCUUCACCGUGCUGGUCGCCCAGCCCCUGGCUUGGGCAGGUUCCUAAAACUUCCUGGGGACUGUCCCUCUGUUCCACAUGGGGAGCACCCAUUCUGUCUGCCUGCCUGUGUCUUGUCCAGCCCAGCUGGCUUCCUCCAGGUGCCCACAGGUUGGGGCUCCCCUCUUUGAAUCUUAUUCUAGGCUCUGCUUGAAAAGGAAAAAACCCUCCAGCCUGCAAGGGCAUUUUAUUUUUUUUAAAGAUUUUAUUUAUUUAUUUGACAGAGAGAGAGAUCACAAGCAGGCAGAGAGAGAGGAGGAAGCAGGCUCCCCGCUGAGCAGAGAGCCCGAUGCGGGACUCGGUCCCAGGACCCUGGGAUCAUGACCUGAGCUGAAGGCAGAGGCUUAACCCACUGAGCCACCCAGGUGCCCUAAAAUAAAUAAUUUUUAAACAUUCUGUGUUUCUGGUUCAUAGAGUAGGGAUGAGGCUGGGAGAAGGAAAGCAGAAAGGGGCGGGGUCCGGGAUAUUGACAAAAUAAGGCAAUUUGGGACAAAAGUGCCCCCACUACGGACGCUUACUUCUUGCAUGCUUCAAAGCCCCAAGGGAACGUGCUCGGACGGAACACGAGCAGACUGUGCCCGCCACCGGCCUUCCGCGUGCCGCACACCCGCGAAAUCACUUCUGGUGAGUCUACUUGGUGUUGGCUGGAAAGGGGGGAAGCCCGCUGUCAGUGAGCACCACUGGGGGGUGGGGACGCUCGUGGACAAGGACAGGAAGUCCCUGGAUCAGCUCGUCCACGAGAAGCAAGGAGAGAAACCCCAGGGUCUGUGCUGUGACUUGAGCCCCAGCGCAUCUCAAGGGAUGAAACUGUACUAACGUAUCACAUGGUUCAGAGACUUUCCUGAGGCUGUUUCAUACCAGGAACGUACGGAAAAUCUCUCAUAGGGCAUGAAAUGACUACAAGGUGAACUUAGCCUUUAGCUUUUGAAAUUGAAGUCCCGAACAGAACAGACCUGAAAAAAGAUUUUCGUGGCUUUUCUCUGCUAGAUUGGAGACCCCAUCUCCUCCUUACCUACAGCCUAGAGGCUGUCUGCUCCUGGUUACAUGGAUUCACAGUCUUUAAACACAAUUUGGACUCUAGACACAGAAGAAGGGUAAAGGGGAAACUUGAUUUGAAAAACAGCUUUGGGGGUGCCUGGGUGGCUCAGUGGGUUAAGCCUCUGACUUCGGCUCAGGUCAUGAUCUCAGGGUCCUGGGAUCGAGCCCCGCAUCGGGAGCCUGCUUCCCCCGGCCCCGCCUGCCUCUCUACCUACUUGGGAUUUCUUUAUCAAAUAAAUAAAAUAAAAUAAAACAAAAACCAAAAAAGCAAAAACAAAACAAAACAAAACAAAACAAAACCAAAAAACCAAACCAAAGAAACACCCAGAAGUUUUAUUUGUUAAAAAAAAAAAGCGCAGACUAUAAAA